CGGAGGACUCACGAGUUCACGACACCGCACUCUCGCGCAGAUCCAAUACACCGUUGUAUUCCCCUUCCCCGCUCUCUCCCCGGUCUCAGAUCCCUCGGCUCCCUUGCUCGGAUCUCGAACGCUCACCUUGCGCCUCCUAUCGAGACCUAGGUCUUCUGCUGCCCUUUCGAUCGAGAACCGAGGGGACUCGCAGGAGACCUCAAGACGGACCUCGCCAUGAAUCCCUUCUCUUCCGGGACCCGGCUCAGGGACAUGAUUCGAGCUAUACGUGCUUGCAAAACUGCUGCAGAGGAGCGUGCUGUUGUGAGAAAAGAAUGUGCUGCUAUACGUGCUGCUAUUAGUGAAAAUGAUCCAGAUUAUAGGCAUCGUAAUCUUGCAAAACUUAUGUUUAUUCACAUGCUUGGUUAUCCCACUCAUUUUGGUCAAAUGGAAUGUCUCAAAUUGAUAGCUUCUGCUGGGUUUCCUGAAAAGAGAAUUGGUUAUCUUGGUCUAAUGCUGCUGCUUGAUGAAAGGCAAGAGGUUCUUAUGCUUGUUACAAAUUCCUUGAAACAAGAUCUCAAUCAUUCAAAUCAGUAUAUUGUGGGUCUUGCACUUUGUGCUCUAGGGAAUAUAUGUUCUGCAGAAAUGGCACGGGAUCUUGCACCGGAAGUAGAAAGGUUAUUACAAACUAGAGAUCCAAACAUUAAAAAAAAGGCUGCUUUGUGCUCUAUAAGGAUAAUAAGAAAAGUUCCAGACUUAGCAGAAAACUUUAUGGGCCCUGCUUCUUCUUUGCUGAAGGAAAAGCAUCAUGGAGUUUUAAUAGCUGGAGUUCAGCUCUGCACAGAUCUAUGUAAAGCUAGUACCAUCGCCUUAGAAUAUUUGAGAAAGAACUGCACAGAGGGACUGGUUCGAAUACUGAGAGAUGUCUCGAAUAGUCCAUAUGCACCCGAGUAUGACAUUGCUGGGAUUACAGACCCUUUUUUGCAUAUCCGAGUGCUUAGGCUCAUGCGUAUGCUUGGCCAAGGAGAUGCAGAUUCCAGUGAAUAUAUGAAUGACAUUCUUGCUCAGGUUGCGACAAAAACUGAGUCAAACAAAAAUGCUGGAAAUGCUAUUCUGUAUGAAUGUGUUGAAACUAUAAUGGGCAUUGAAGCUACUAGUGGUCUUCGUGUGCUUGCUAUCAAUAUUUUAGGAAGAUUCCUGUCAAAUCGUGACAACAAUAUCAGAUACGUUGCCCUUAAUAUGCUCAUGAAGGCUGUUACAGUUGAUUCUCAAGCAGUGCAAAGGCACAGAACAACGAUUCUAGAGUGUGUCAAGGAUUCUGAUGCCUCAAUUCGGAAAAGAGCCCUCGAACUUGUUUUUCUGCUAGUUAACGACACCAAUGUGAAGUCUUUGACAAAAGAACUUAUUGAUCACCUAGAAGUAAGUGAUCAAGAAUUCAAGGGCGAUCUGACUGCCAAAAUUUGCUCAAUUGUUGAAAAGUUUUCUCAGGAGAAGCUAUGGUAUAUUGAUCAGAUGUGCAAGGUUUUAUCUCUGGCAGGGAACCAUGUAAAAGAUGACGUGUGGCAUGCCUUAAUAGUCAUGAUAAGCAAUGCACCUGAUCUGCAAGGUUACGCAGUAAGGUCAUUAUACAAGGCAUUCCGAACUUCAAAUGAACAGGAGAGUUUAGUGCGAGUAACAGUAUGGUGUAUUGGUGAAUAUGGUGAGAUGCUGGUCAAUAAUGUUGGAGUGCUCGAAAUGGAGGAACCAAUGACAGUGACAGAGUCUGAUGCUGUGGAUGUUGUAGAGGUUGCUUUACAACAUCAUUCUUCAGAUAUCACAACUCGAGCAAUGUCCUUGGUUGCUCUUUUGAAGCUCUCCUCACGUUUUCCUCCUACUUCAGAGAGAAUAAGAGAGAUUGUUAUGCAGCAUAAAGGAAAUGUUGAACUGGAGUUACAGCAAAGAUCACUUGAAUUCAAUUCUAUCAUCCAAAGACAUCCGAACAUUAAGUCUUCUUUGGUUGAAAGGAUGCCUGUUCUGGAUGAGUCAGCUUAUAUUGGAAAGAGAGCAGGCUCCUCACAAGCAACCCUUUCAGCAGAUAAAUCUAGCCAAACAACCUCCUCCGGACCAUCCUCACUGAAGCUUCCGAAUGGUGUAACCAAACCACCAGCAGCUCCCCUGAUGGAUCUACUUGAUUUAAGUUCAGAUGAUGCACCAGUUUCUACUUCAUCCACUACUGAUUUUCUGCAUGACUUGUUGGGUGGUGAUUCGAUAAGUCCAGGUGUAGCUCCAUCGGGGGGUGCAGGUACAGAUAUUCUGAUGGAUCUUCUAUCAAUUGGAUCACCUUCCGCACCAACCGAUGUACUAGUGCCUAAUGCUAUUUCCUCCAAGCAAGGGAAUGCACCAGAGCCUAAAAUUGCUCCUGCUCCAGUAAUGGAUUUGUUGGAUGGCUUACCAUCAAGAGAGGAGAAUCCAGUUUAUCCAUCUAUCACGGCUUUUGAGAGCAGCACCUUGAAGAUUACAUUCAGCUUCACAAAGCAGCCUGGAAAUCUGCAAGCUACAGUGAUCCAGGCUACAUUCACAAAUUUGUCAUCUAGUGCUUACACAGACUUCAUUUUUCAAGCCGCUGUUCCAAAGUUCAUCCAGUUGCAAUUAGACCCUGCUAGCAGCAGCACUCUUCCAGCCAAUGGCAGUGGAACGAUUACACAAAUGCUAACUGUCACUAAUAGCCAGCAUGGGCAGAGGGGAAGCCAAGACUAGAACACUAAAGAUUAAAAUCUGGAGAAAGAACAACCCACUCCAGCAGCAGUUACAAGUAGAGAUAAUAGAAAGCCCUUGCCAUGCGUAUAAGGAUGGCUUACAAAGUGAAUGACCAAGAUAAGCUGGAACAAGGACAGAUCAACAAUUUUCCACGUGGUUUAUGAGCCUGCUGUUUGGUGCCCAAUUGUGUGGUGGAAUUUUUUCUUUAAAUUUUUAUUUCAUGGAGGGUUUGCCCCUUUUUUCCGUUCUUGCUUCAGAGGAUCCUUGGACGGUCUAGGCAUUUUUUUGAUUGUUCACAUAUAAUGUAUAGAAAUUGGCAUUUAUACAACAUUCUCAAGUUCUGGUAGGUGUGAAGCACACUUACGGUUAAUGUACACCAUGCAUUUCCGUUAUAGGGGAUGCAGAACUGAUUCAUUUUCUUGGGCAGGGAAGAAGUUGUUGUACGGAUGUACUGUUCGAUUUAUACUUUGUUAAAGUUAUUCAUCAUUCAUCAAUGCUGGUGUUUUUUCCCUUGAAA